rnacentral:rRNA from 1 species
UAGACCGCCUGGGGAGUACGGCCGCAAGGUUAAAACUCAAAUGAAUUGACGGGGGCCCGCACAAGCGGUGGAGCAUGUGGUUUAAUUCGAUGCAACGCGAAGAACCUUACCUGGUCUUGACAUCCACGGAACUUUCCAGAGAUGGAUUGGUGCCUUCGGGAACCGUGAGACAGGUGCUGCAUGGCUGUCGUCAGCUCGUGUUGUGAAAUGUUGGGUUAAGUCCCGCAACGAGCGCAACCCUUAUCCUUUGUUGCCAGCGGUCCGGCCGGGAACUCAAAGGAGACUGCCAGUGAUAAACUGGAGGAAGGUGGGGAUGACGUCAAGUCAUCAUGGCCCUUACGACCAGGGCUACACACGUGCUACAAUGGCGCAUACAAAGAGAAGCGACCU